GACGAACGCUGGCGGCGUGCUUAACACAUGCAAGUCGAACGGAAAGGCCCUGCUUUUGUGGGGUGCUCGAGUGGCGAACGGGUGAGUAACACGUGAGUAACCUGCCCUUGACUUUGGGAUAACUUCAGGAAACUGGGGCUAAUACCGGAUAGGGGCUCCUGCUGCAUGGUGGGGGUUGGAAAGUUUCGGCGGUUGGGAAUGGACUCGCGGCUUAUCAGCUUGUUGGUGGGGUAGUGGCUUACCAAGGCUUUGACGGGUAGCCGGCCUGAGAGGGUGACCGGCCACAUUGGGACUGAGAUACGGCCCAGACUCCUACGGGAGGCAGCAGUGGGGAAUAUUGCACAAUGGGCGGAAGCCUGAUGCAGCAACGCCGCGUGCGGGAUGACGGCCUUCGGGUUGUAAACCGCUUUCGCCUGUGACGAAGCGUGAGUGACGGUAAUGGGUAAAGAAGCACCGGCUAACUACGUG
rnacentral:rRNA from 1 species